AAAAAAAGCUUAAGCUAGCAAAGUACAGUAAGUAAGCAGUUUAUUCUUUGUUAUAAAAUGACCUGUAUUGUUGUUUGCAACAUGCUUUCUAUAUUUGACACACCAUCUGUAGGUAAAAGAAACAGAUAGUUGGAAUUGAAAGGACAGAAGCAACAAAAUUGUGGCUUGUACAACCGCAUUUUUGCCUAUUCAUUUGCUAUAUACAUAGUAAGAAUGUUCGUCUUUAUUUUCUUAAAACCUUUUGCUUUAUGUUCUUAACACAUAUAUUUUAGUAUCAAUUUAUGAUCGUAAAAUGUAUUGUAAAUGACGGUUGCAUGCUAGUGUUUAUCCAUCUCUUUACUAUUUGAUUGCUAGUUAACUAUAUUAUUACUUUAUAAAAUUGUGUUCCCUUUCAGCAUUGUGGAAUUAUUAUUGAGUUGUUUGUUGGUUAGUUGUUGAGCACAGUUUUGUAUGUAUGUUUCUCUUGUUGUUUUUUUUAUUUGGUUUCCUUGCAGUGCAAAAAGCUUAAGCUAGCAAAGUACAGUAAGUAAGCAGUUUAUUCUUUGUUAUAAAAUGACCUGUAUUGUUGUUUGCAACAUGCUUUCUAUAUUUGACACACCAUCUGUAGGUAAAAGAAACAGAUAGUUGGAAUUGAAAGGACAGAAGCAACAAAAUUAUGGCUUGUACAACCGCAUUUUUGCCUAUUCAUUUGCUAUAUACAUAGUAAGAAUGUUCGUCUUUAUUUUCUUAAAACCUUUUGCCUUAUUUUCUUAACACAUAUA
rnacentral:lncRNA from 1 species